AUUGAACGCUAGCGGGAUGCCUUACACAUGCAAGUCGAACGGCAGCGCGGACUUCGGUCUGGCGGCGAGUGGCGAACGGGUGAGUAAUGUAUCGGAACGUGCCCAGUAGCGGGGGAUAACUACUCGAAAGAGUAGCUAAUACCGCAUACGCCCUACGGGGGAAAGGGGGGGAUCGCAAGACCUCUCACUAUUGGAGCGGCCGAUAUCGGAUUAGCUAGUUGGUGAGGUAAAGGCUCACCAAGGCGACGAUCCGUAGCUGGUUUGAGAGGACGACCAGCCACACUGGGACUGAGACACGGCCCAGACUCCUACGGGAGGCAGCAGUGGGGAAUUUUGGACAAUGGGGGAAACCCUGAUCCAGCCAUUCCGCGUGUGCGAUGAAGGCCUUCGGGUUGUAAAGCACUUUUGUCAGGGAGCAAAUCCUUGUGGCUAAUACCCACCGGGGAUGAGAGUACCUGAAGAAUAAGGACCGGCUAACUACGUGCCAGCCGCCGCCGUAA
rnacentral:rRNA from 1 species